AUGUGUGUAUUAUAUAUAUCAUAUUUUCGUGGGAAUUCUUCAUUUUGUCUUGUUCAUAUUUUAAUUAUUUAAGUUGUGUGCCUCACAGCUGCUGUUGGCUGGAUAUGCUUGGCACGUGCUGGGCUUUCGCGGCAGAUUUCCUAAUGAGUUUGUUGUUGUGGUGAGCUAAAUUUAUGUGCUGGUCACUAGUUGGAUUGUUAUACAAGCCAGAAAUAAUAUGCGAAGAGAUGUAAAGGAAAGGAUAUCUAUUUAUGUGGUGAGCUGGGUAGCGGUUUGAAAUAUAUAAAACUAAAUAUGUUGAUCCUUCAAUACUAUCGCUUAAAAAGAGCCCAAGUUCGGCCGCUUCGUGCUUCAGUCAGAGCAAAUGUCUGUCUGUCUUAGCUGUUUAGUAAGUCACCAAAAUACAAUAACUUAUUUACACACUUAUCUAGCUGGCACAUCCAUUUGGACCCUAAUUCAAUUAUCAGUUAUCGGGACAAAGUCAAAUCCCAAUAAUCAAUGAAGAUUUAAGUAGCAAUCGAACCUUUUUGCAAUCUUAAGCUCUGAGAUUAUUUAAAAUAAAUUUUAACUUUUUAAGAAGUUUUCUAA